GACGUAGGGGGCGAGCGUUGUCCGGAUUUAUUGGGCGUAAAGAGCUCGUAGGCGGUCUGUCGCGUCUGCUGUGAAAACUCAGGGCUUAACCCUGAGCUUGCAGUGGGUACGGGCAGACUAGAGUGCGGUAGGGGAGACUGGAAUUCCUGGUGUAGCGGUGAAAUGCGCAGAUAUCGGGAAGAACACCCGUGGCGAAGGCGGCUCUCCGGGACGGUACUGACGCUGAGACGCGAAAGCGUGGGGAGCAAACAGG
rnacentral:rRNA from 1 species